GAAGAAAGAAGGGGUUUAUUAUCGCUGCCGCGGACAGUGAGACAAUCCAUGAUGCACCCAACUGGGUUUGACUCAUGGCUUUUUGUGGGGUGAAGCCGCUAUUUCUCCAAUAACUGUGCUAUUUUAGUCCAUCAUUCAAAUCUUCACUUUUUUUGCUUUUAUGCCAAAACACUACAAGAAUUCACAGCUUCCACUAAGAAUUGUAUUCCCUGCAUAACAUAUCGCAUAGCAGGGUGGAAAAAUCCUCUGAAACAGCAUUUUAACAAUAACCAGACACUAUUCAACCUAUGUUAAAAAAAGCUAUCAUAACAAAAGCCUUCCAAAGGUAGCAACAUUCUAAAUUAGGAUGGUUUACCAAAGCUAUUCAACUGAAUGGAAUCUCUGGGACAGAUUUCUAUUUUAAAAAGAGUGUGUAUUUAUAAAAAGACACUUUUUGUGUAGCUGGGGUGAGUGAGGAGCCUCUGACACAACACAACUACUUGCUGAUGUCUGGACUGUAAAGAUUCUGGUGGUGAAUUCGAGUGCUUUUAUGUUUGGAUCCUGGGGCAGCAACGGUCGCUGUGGCAGUGGCGGUCGCCGUGGCGGCAGCAGCAGCAACUGCAGCGGCGGCGGCAGCAGCAGCAGGCUGGGUGAAGUCUGAAGGAGGACGGGAGUGUGGAGGGAUGCCCAUUCCUCCGGGUCCAGCAUUAGGCCCUCCAGGGUAUGGAAUCUCACCUGGCUCUGCGAUGUGUUGGUCACACCCCAGACGGUGGUCACCACAGACAACGAACCUGGAGGCUGAUUGGUGUUCUGUUGCCAGGGAACUGAGUCGUAGGGAAAAGACCCAUCUCUGCAGGAG